rnacentral:rRNA from 1 species
AACGUAGGACGCAAGCGUUAUCCGGAGUUACUGGGCGUAAAGGGCGUGUAGGCGGCGUCUCAAGUUCGUCGUGAAAUUCUCCGGCUCAACCGGGGGAGGUCGAGGGAGACUGAGACGCUGGAGGACGGUAGAGGGACAGGGAAUUCCGGGUGUAGUGGUGAAAUGCGUAGAGAUCCGGAGGAACACCAGUGGCGAAGGCGCUGUCCUGGGCCGUUUCUGACGCUGAGACGCGACAGCAUGGGGAGCGAACGGG